GACGAACGCUGGCGGCGUGCUUAACACAUGCAAGUCGAACGGAAAGGCCCUGCUUUUGUGGGGUGCUCGAGUGGCGAACGGGUGAGUAACACGUGAGUAACCUGCCCUUGACUUUGGGAUAACUUCAGGAAACUGGGGCUAAUACCGGAUAGGAUCUCCUGCUGCAUGGUGGGGGUUGGAACGUUUCGGCUGUUGGGGAUGGACUCGCGGCUUAUCAGCUUGUUGGUGGGGUAGUGGCUUACCAAGGCUUUGACGGGUAGCCGGCCUGAGAGGGUGACCGGCCACAUUGGGACUGAGAUACGGCCCAGACUCCUACGGGAGGCAGCAGUGGGGAAUAUUGCACAAUGGGCGGAAGCCUGAUGCAGCAACGCCGCGUGCGGGAUGACGGCCUUCGGGUUGUAAACCGCUUUCGCCUGUGACGAAGCGUGAGUGACGGUAAUGGGUAAAGAAGCACCGGCUAACUACGUG
rnacentral:rRNA from 1 species